rnacentral:rRNA from 1 species
AUUGAACGCUAGCGGGAUGCCUUACACAUGCAAGUCGAACGGAGUGGCGAACGGGUGAGUAAUGUAUCGGCACGUGCCCAGUAGCGGGGGAUAACUACGCGAACGCGUAGCUAAUACCGCAUACUAUUGGAGCGGCCGACAUCGGAUUGGCGAGGUGGUGGGGUAUCGGCACACCAAGUCGACGAGCCGUAGCUGGUUUGGGAGGACGACCAGCCACACUGGGACUGAGACACGGCCCAGACUCCUACGGGAGGCAGCAGUGGGGAAUGUUGGACGAUGGGGGAAACCCUGAUCCAGCCAUCCCGCGUGUGCGAUGAAGGCCUUCGGGUUGUAAAGCACUUUUGGCAGGAAAGCGGUACCUGCAGAAUAAGCACCGGCUAACUACGUGCCAGCAGCCGCGGUAAUAC